AUCGUCUUUUGAAACACUCACAUAAAAGAUAAUGCCUGCCCAGUGAAAAUUUUUAAACGGCCGCGUUAGCGUGAGCGUGCUAAGGUAGCGUAAUAAAUAGCCUUUUAAUUGGAGGCCAGUGAAUGGCAAGACUAGGAAUACCUGUACCCUUUAUGAAAAAAAAACUUUUCAUCUGAGCGAAAAGACUCAGAUAGCGAAGGAAGACGAAAAGACCCCGCGGAACUUUACCUUUUCCAAUCUUAACUGCCCAUAAACACGAAAGACAAAAGGUUUGAUUGGGGCAAUCUCGGAACAAUCAAGCUUCCGAUUCUUCUUGAAUAGACAUCUAUAACCAGAUAAGGGCAAAAAAGAAGUUACCCCGGGGAUAACAGCGUAAUCCAGCUCAAGAGUACACAUCGAAAGCUGGGUUUGCGACCUCGAUGUUGGCUUAAGGACAUCCACAUUAGUGCAACCGCUAUGACAGGACAGUCUGUUCGACUAUUAUACCCUUACAU
rnacentral:rRNA from 1 species